rnacentral:rRNA from 1 species
UUGGACGCUGGCGGCAGGCCUAACACAUGCAAGUCGAGCGGAUGACGGGAGCUUGCUCCUGGAUUCAGCGGCGGACGGGUGAGUAAUGCCUAGGAAUCUGCCUGGUAGUGGGGGACAACGUUUCGAAAGGAACGCUAAUACCGCAUACGUCCUACGGGAGAAAGCAGGGGACCUUCGGGCCUUGCGCUAUCAGAUGAGCCUAGGUCGGAUUAGCUAGUUGGUGAGGUAAUGGCUCACCAAGGCGACGAUCCGUAACUGGUCUGAGAGGAUGAUCAGUCACACUGGAACUGAGACACGGUCCAGACUCCUACGGGAGGCAGCAGUGGGGAAUAUUGGACAAUGGGCGAAAGCCUGAUCCAGCCAUGCCGCGUGUGUGAAGAAGGUCUUCGGAUUGUAAAGCACUUUAAGUUGGGAGGAAGGGUUGUAGAUUAAUACUCUGCAAUUUUGACGUUACCGACAGAAUAAGCACCGGCUAACUCUGUGCCAGCAGCCGCCGUAACAC